CGGUGCCCGCCGUGGACUUUGGCAACGCGCAGGAGGCGUACCGCAGCCGGCGAACCUGGGAGCUGGCGCGCAGCCUGCUGGUGCUGCGCUUGUGCGCCUGGCCCGCGCUGCUGGCGCGCCACGAGCAGCUGCUGUAUGUUUCCAGGAAACUUCUAGGACAGAGGCUAUUCAACAAGCUCAUGAAGAUGACCUUCUAUGGGCAUUUUGUAGCCGGGGAGGACCAGGAGUCCAUCCAGCCCCUGCUUCGGCACUACAGGGCCUUCGGUGUCAGCGCCAUCCUGGACUAUGGAGUGGAGGAGGACCUGAGCCCCGAGGAGGCAGAGCACAAGGAGAUGGAGUCCUGCACCUCAGCUGCGGAGAGGGAUGGCAGUGGCACGAGUAAGCGGGACAAGCAAUACCAGGCCCACCGGGCCUUCGGGGACCGCAGGAAUGGUGUCAUCAGUGCCCGCACCUACUUCUACGCCAAUGAGGCCAAGUGCGACAGCCACAUGGAGACAUUCUUGCGCUGCAUCGAAGCCUCAGGUAGAGUCAGCGAUGACGGCUUCAUAGCCAUUAAGCUCACGGCACUGGGGAGACCCCAGUUUCUGGUAAGUGCUAGAACCUUCCACCUGCAGAGUCUGGUGCUGUGCGAGAUCUCAGGGCAGCUGUGGGCAUCCACCAAAAACACAGGUGCCCAUGCCUUAGAGGCCUGAGCUGGCCACAGGGGCUGUGUGGGGGACUGGGUUGGGCAGGGGCGUGUGCAGAUGGCAUUCAGGCCUGCGUUUGCAGCUGCAGUUCUCAGAGGUGCUGGCCAAGUGGAGGUGCUUCUUUCACCAAAUGGCUGUGGAGCAAGGGCAGGCGGGCCUGGCUGCCAUGGACACCAAGCUGGAGGUGGCGGUGCUGCAGGAAAGUGUCGCAAAGAUGGGCAUCGCAUCCAGGGCUGAGAUUGAGGACUGGUUCACGGCAGAGACCCUGGGAGUGUCUGGGUGAGAGCAGCCCCCAGGCUGAGAGGACACGAGCAUCAGCCAUGGUUCCAGCCAAGCCCCAGUGACGUCUCCCAGUCCUGGCUGCCCUGCCUGAGAGGGUGGGCCCUGGGAUGACAGUGCUGAAGGAACUGCUUUUCACACAGCAGGACUUGAUGGCUUCAGGAGUCCCUGAGGCUGGGGCUGGGCUGGGCAGGGGAGACACAGGGCCAGCACAGACCCCAUAGAGGGCUCUUUAUAGAAUUAUCUGGGUCUAGAGCAAAGGUGGCACUCUCAGCCCUCCCUGGAGUCCACGCUGGCAGGUGAAGGAUCAGAGCCCCAUGCCCCAUCCUUGGAGCCAGGGGCUGGGACCCAGGUCACCAGGAGCCUCCAGUUGAAGUGGGGAGGUGACUGGGGUGGUGCAGUAGUGAGCCAUCCCCUCACACACUGUCAGCCUUGCCCACUGUGUCCUCCCUGGCCCCCCAGAGCUGUGUCCGCCUCCUGCCUGGCUGCCUGUGCUCGGCCCGUCCACAAGCCCAAAACAGCCCUAGGGUACUCAGUGUUUUCAGAGCCGCCUAGAUGCAGGACUGUUUGUGUUUUGGUUUUAAAUUUUUUAAAUUAAUUUAUUUUUUAUAGAGACCAGGUCUCACCAUGUUGCCCAGGCUGGCUUCAAACCCCUGGGCUCAAGUGGCCUGCCCGCUGUAGCCUCCCAAAGUGCUGGGAUUAUAAGUUUGAGCCACCACACGCCACUGGUUUUAAAUUUUUAAACAGAAAACAAUAUUUAUAUUUCCUCUAUCUUUUAAAACUGAACACCGAGGUGGGUUUUGUGGUGGGUGGUGAACGGACAGGUUUGGGCCUCGAUCCCCCACCCGACCCUAGCACCCAGAGGUGGGGGUGCCCCCUCUGCUGAUGCGCCUCCUCCCUCAGCACCGUGGACCUGCUGGACUGGAGCAGCCUCAUCGACAGCAGGACCAAGCUGUCCAAGCACCUGGUAGUCCCCAACGCACAGGUAACACCUCCGCUCCUCAGUGAGGCCCAGCUCAGCAGGGCGCUGCGCUAAGAAGGGAAUUCAGCCUGCCACGUGUGUCUCUUGUUGCCUAUCCUGGGAACUUAACAUGACCAAGAUCACUGCACACUAUGGCCCCACAGACCCCCUAUGGUCCAGGGGGAAGAAGACAAACCCACUAGUGUCCACAGAGUGCUUGGCGGGACAGAGACCCACACGGAGCCUUAAGACACCACAAGGAGAGGGGGUCUGGGGGCCUUCCCCAAGUCAUCUGUCUUGUGCAUCAGGUCACCCCAAACUUCAGAGGCCUGAAACGGCAGCAGCCACUCUGCUUCUGCCUUAUGGUUCUGGGGUUGACAGGGCUCAGCUGGGCAGUCCUCCCUUGGGGUCUCCUGGGUAGCUGUACUCACAGAGUGGUGGUGCUGGGACCUGGGGGAGGCGCCCACUCACAUGUCUGGGAGUUGGUGCUGGCUGUGGCUUGGGCUUUUUCCCAACAUGGCAGCUGGGCUCUAAGGGCCAGUGUCCCCUAAGACGUGAGAGCAGGCAGAAGCUGGGUGACCUUUUCCUGCCUCGCCUCAGAAGUCACACGGUGUCUUUUCUGGCAAGUUCUGUUUGUUAGAAGCAUGUCACCAGGCCAGCCUGUAUACAGUGGGGAGAGGAAUGAGACUCAUCUGCCUGUGGGAGGGGGGCCCAGGACCUGGCAGACUGCUUGAAACCACAGCUUAAACUGGAAUUCGAAGAAAGAACAGAAGCACCUUCAGAAAACAUCCUGCAGAGGCAGCUUUCCAUGACACAUCUAGCCCCAGUCCACUAAGGGCCCAGCCUCAAACUUAGAGCCCCCGACCCAGAGCCUCGGGGCACAGUGCGUACAGUGUGGCUGUGCACCAAGGCCACCAGCUGUUGGAGACUUUAGCAUGGUGUAGCAAGGGAUAGAGUGGUACUGUUUGUGCCCAGUGAGGCAAGGCUGCUGGGGCCAGCAAAGGGGUGAGCGGGAGGGCCUGCGGGAUGGGUCCCCACGGCCUCUGAGCACCAGCUCCUUGAAGGCCUCAUCCUGGCGGUUGCCCUGGUCCCUGGCUACGUGUCAGCAUGUGCUGCACAACUGCCCUGUCUGCCUGUAGCCAGGGGUCUUCCUCCUGGGCCCUCUGCCUGCUCCGGGCGGAGCCCUUCUGUUUGACGAUUGGGUGAUCAGUGUUCACUUGUUCAAUGUCACAUGGGAGCUGCAGGGGGCUCUCCCACAACGGUGGGGCCUCUGUGGGAACUGGGGAGUACACACUUCGGAGUGCAGGCCUGGACUGAGCCCGGGGCCCACUGACAUGGGCACUGAGCUCCCUCAUGGUACCCCUAGGCCCCGCAUAGGGCAGUGCACUGGCUGCGUUGGAGGUUCCAGGGCACUGUGCUGCUUGUCCAGGUGGCCCUCCCUCCCAGCCCUGCACAGACGGGUGAGAGGGUUCCUGUGGGCUGGGAAUACUGAGAGAGGUUUAGCCUGGGCCUCAGGGUGGCACUUUCCAGCCCUUGCUGUGGCCUGACCGCAUGUUGCACCCCCAGACAGGACAGCUGGAGCCCCUGCUGUCCCGGUUCACUGAGGAGGAGGAGCUACAGAUGACGAGGAUGCUACAGCGGAUGGAUGUCCUGGCCAAGAAAGCCACAGAGAUGGGCGUGCGGCUGAUGGUGGAUGCCGAGCAGACCUACUUCCAGCCGGCCAUCAGCCGCCUGACGCUGGAGAUGCAGCGGAAGUUCAAUGUGGAGAAGCCGCUCAUCUUCAACACAUACCAGUGCUACCUCAAGGAUGCCUAUGACAAUGUGACCCUGGACGUGGAGCUGGCUCGCCGUGAGGGCUGGUGUUUUGGGGCCAAGCUGGUGCGGGGCGCAUACCUGGCCCAGGAGCGAGCCCGUGCGGCAGAGAUUGGCUAUGAGGACCCCAUCAACCCCACGUACGAGGCCACCAACGCCAUGUACCACAGGUGCCUGGACUACGUGCUGGAGGAGCUGAAGCACAACGCCAAGGCCAAGGUGAUGGUGGCCUCCCACAAUGAGGACACAGUGCGCUUCGCACUGCGCAGGAUGGAGGAGCUGGGCCUGCAUCCUGCUGACCACCAGGUGUACUUUGGACAGCUGCUAGGCAUGUGUGACCAGAUCAGCUUCCCGCUGGGUGAGUGGGGCCCUCCCUGGUGCGAUGGGGUACGGUGCUGGGCCUGGGCCUCAUGGUGUAUCUGCCCCCAUGCAGGCCAGGCCGGCUACCCCGUGUACAAGUACGUGCCCUAUGGCCCCGUGAUGGAGGUGCUGCCCUACUUGUCCCGCCGUGCCCUGGAGAACAGCAGCCUCAUGAAGGGCACCCAUCGGGAGCGGCAGCUGCUGUGGCUGGAGCUCUUGAGGCGGCUCCGAACUGGCAGCCUCUUCCAUCGCCCUGCCUAGCACCCGCCAGCCCACCCUCAGCCUCCAGCACCCCCGGCCCCCACCCAGGCCAUCACCACAACUGCAGCCAACCCCAUCCUCACACAGAUUCACCUUUUUUCACCCCACACUUGCAGAGCUGCUGGAGGUGGAGUCAGGUGCCUCCCAGCCCUGCCAAUGGUGGGGGCACUCAGGUGUGGGCUGACCCUGAUACCUGCCUGGGAUAGCCGCUGGUAACUGUUAGGAACUUUCCUCGGAUGUGUGGGCCCAAGGCCCCCACCUCUGUGACCCCCAUGUCCUUGGACCUAGAGGAUUGUCCACCUUCUGCCAAGGCCAGCCCACACAGCCCGAGCCCCUCGGGGAGCAGUGGCCGGGCUGGGGAGGCCUGCCUGGUCAAUAAACCACUGUUCCUGC
rnacentral:sRNA from 1 species